CAAGAGAGUGGGAGAGCCAGAAGAUGCUAAUCCCGUUCUCCAUCUGCUCUACAAGGGCUUCCAUGGCCCAGGUAGCCGGGGCUGCAAGAACACAGAGGCCACCUCUGGUUAUCAGGCCCCUGCGCUUGCAAUAAUUCCACUUCAGCUGUCUUAGCACAUCUCUAGGCCUUCCUUGUGAUGCAAUCGUUACAAGAGCCUGCUCCACCCUCAAGGAGUGAGAAGAUACUUGUGCCGGGAGAGCAGUAUACUCUCUAGCUGGCCAUGGCGAGGGUCACAGGUCUCCCCAAGCUCUGAGGAAAGGUGAAAGAGCAGAGAGCAGAGCUCCCAGACACUAUGUGUCAUCAUGUCUGUGAGCAGAAUGCUGAUAUGUUACUAAAGAAAGCUAGAGACUCUGAAGACCUAGCUGCCAGCUGUACUACUGGCUUAGGCAAGUGAUGCCCAUGCCAGGAGAAGCUCAAGAUGCCUGCCCUCUGGCUGAUAAGCCCUGAGGGCAAGAUGCUCCUGAGGGCUGAGCCAUUACUGAAAAAAGUUGUCUCACGGCAAGUAAAGGCUAAAGAAGAAAGCGAUGGUAAGAGUGUCAAGGAAAGAAAGAAAAUGUAGAACUCUCAGCUCUACCUGCACUGUAUCUGCCUGGAUGCUGCCCUGCUCCCUCCCAACUUGAUGAUGGUGGACUGAACCUCUGUACCUGUAAGCCAGCCCCAAUGAAAUGUUACAACACUUGCCUUGGACACAGUGGCUGUUCACAGCGGUAAAACCUAACUGAGACAGCACCCUUAAACUGUGAGCUAGAAUAAACCCACAGGUUGCUUUUGUCAGAAUAUUUUAUCACCAGCAGUGAGAAGAAAAAAAACCACUCAGACAGAUGCUGCAAUUCACAACCAAGUAUCCUGUAUUUCUUCAGUCUGUUGACAGGAAGCUGUGGCAGAGGCUGGAGCUAAGCACUCAUCCUUCCAGGCCUCUCCCCACCACAGGAACAAGGGAAGAACCGGAGCCACAGGCCUGAAGGUUCACAUUUCAAAGAGAAGCUUCCAAGGCCACAUGGAGAUGUAGGAGCUGGUGAGGGGUGCACAUCCUCAGCUGAGAAGGUGCAAAUUUGGACAGCAGCUGUUUCACAAGGGGUGACUUGAACCCCACCUGCCUAGAACCAGUAAACUGUGGCAAUGUUGAACUUCCUUUGGUGAAUACUUACAGUCUGUGUUAUCCUUGGGAUGUGGCCUUGAACUGUGAAUAGUUAUAGUAAUUUUGUUUUCCCUUUUUUUUUUUUUUCUGAGACAGGGGUUCUCUCUGUAGUUCUGCCUGUCCUGGAAUUGACUUUGUAGACCAGACUGGCCUCAGGUUCACAGAAAUGUACCUGCCUCUGUCUCUGCCUCCUGAGUGCUGGGAUCAAAGGCAUGUCCCAGCACACCCAGCUUUUUGGUUUUUAAACAUGGGACAGUUAAGAAGCAGAUAAAUUCUUUUUCACUAAGAAGCCUAGGUUAAAGCCUUGUUGAGGGAAAAGCUGAGAGAAUCCCAAAUGUUUUGGUACGGAGACCUGUUACUCCUGUUGCUAUUGUAACCUAGAGGCUCCUGGCUCCAAGGAUGCUGCCUGGUUACUAGUCAUCCUCUGGCCACCACUGUCCCCACGUGGUACAAAUGCACAGGAGCCCAUGGUAUUCAGAGGAGAGCAAAGAACAUUACCCAGUCACAAGUCACAUAUAUCAGACACUUGACCAACCACUACAGCCCAGAUCCUUGACAGUAGGUCACACGUUGAGGAAAUACCACAUUUACCCUUUAUAAGCAUGUCUACUCUCUUGGCUCCCUGGACUCAUAGACCCUCCUGUCUAUGCCCUGACUGUCCUGAGGCUGCCAUACAGUAAGAAAGACCAUGAUGGCCGCAUGGAAGGACAAUGAGGAGGACUACACAUGCACCAGACAGGCAAAGGAAGGCUUUCUAGACCUUCCCACCCAAUCCCACCUGCCAAGCACACAGUAACAGUUGCCAUGCCAGCCAACACAUGUGAUCUGUGGUCUGUAGGAUCUCAAGACACAAUAGGCUGCAUAGCAACACGCGUGUGACAUAUGUAAGUUCUGUCAGUUCUGUCCUCUAAGCCCCAGGGAAUAUGGGGAAGAUGGCCUAUUAUCUUCUAAAAAGACUGUCGUUGAUAAGACAUCAUUAGGCUACACUGUGGUUUUGGUACUUGGGGAUUUUUGUCAGAAACAAGCUGUUAGGAAGAAGGGUGAGCUGGGAAAGGAGUGUGUAAUGGCUAAUUGUGGUUAUCGGUUUGACUGGAUCUGGGAACAACUAAGAGACGCACCUCUGGGUAGGUCUUCAAGGGUGUUUCCUGGGCCCAUUGGCUGAGACAGAAAAGCCCUUUCCUCAGAGUGGUAGAAGCCACCAUCAGCUGCCCAGACAUGGAGAGGUGAGAGAUUCAUCUCAUGUGCCUGCCUUGCGCCUUGCUGGCAAGUGCAUCCUUCGGUUGGUGUCUCUGCUGCCACCAUCCUUAGCUGUUGCUCAGCCCAGCCUCCUGGACCUUCCAACACGAACUGAAGAUCAGAUCUCCAGGAAUCCUCCACACUUUCAGUGCCAGCUUGGGAUCAUUGAAGUUUGCAGCCCUGGGGACUGAGCAGGUCACAGUUUUCAGUCUGUUCAGUGUGCAGACAGCCGUUGCUAGACUACCCAGCAUGUAUCCUGUAAGACAAUCUGAAGCAUUUCCUUUGUAGUCUAUGCUCACUCACUCAGUUCUGCUCCCCUACAUAACCCUGACUGUCACAGAAUCGAUGGGAUAAGAAGGGGAUUCCCAUGAACCUAGGGGAGAGAAUCCAAGCAAGCAACCAUAGCCAGUCAACAUUCAGUACAGCUAGGUUGAAAACUCCAGUUGUUG